rnacentral:lncRNA from 1 species
CAAGGUGUGAGAUGAAGAUGCCUCUCACACAAGAAGCAGGAGUUUGCUGCCAAAGGAAGCAGGUGUUUUGAAAGAAACAAAAACUGUUGGGGGUUGCAUCUGCAGUUUUCUAAAAAUCUACAAUCCAGGAUCUAUUUGUUUAAAUACAAAAGCAACUGGCCAUUGAAAUGUCUACCUCCUCUACGCUUGAGUGCCAGCAGCUCCAGAGACAAAAAUGACUGCCUCCUACUUGCCUGACCCAAGGGUACCAUUCCCAGUGCUGGACUACUCCAGAAAUGUUGUCAUAUUAUGCCACGGCCAGUCACCAAAGGACACAUUUCCACAGGUUUUGACAACCCCCAAGUACAAUCACAUUCACAAAAAUAAGCUUUUAAAGCAGUGAUGAUGUAACAAA